rnacentral:lncRNA from 1 species
UUCCAUUCCAUAAUUGAGUCUUGGGAUAACAAUAUGUAGCAUAUGGCUGGUUGGUUUUAAUGGCUAUAAAUUGGAAACCUUUGCAAUUGCAUAUUUGCAGGUAUAAGUUCUUACACCGCUCUAUGAUGUAAUUUGGGAACAAACCAUAAUCGUAUUGAUGGAGUUUCAGCAAACUAGCCUCAGAUUCGUUACAAAAAAUAUCAAACACCGGUUCACAACCAAAGGACUAAUCUGUGUGAUUUUUUCAUCUUAUAUCCUGGAAUGCAAGAACAUUGCUUCCAUGAAUAAGGGAAGGUUGAGCUGUUGAGGGAAGGCUCGCCAUGAAACAACCAUGUUUCUCCCCCUUCACUUAAGACUGUAUGGCCGAAUAUUGCCAUCAAAAUCAAGCUUCAAUCUUCUAUGCAUCUUUGAGCCAUAAUCGGUGGAACUAAAACUUGCCCAUUCUGUUAGCGUUGUACGUGGACCUUCCAGCUUCCAGUCUCAAAAGCCAAGGAAAUGACCAAUAGAAAAUUGAAACCUCAGCACCCUCCCAUAAAAGACAAGGACGUUAUCAGUGUCAAAAAAAUAAAUAACAGUAAUACAUUUAUGAAUUACAUCAAAUAAACAGCAUCCACCUUGGCAUUUACACAUUCCAUUGUCGGUAAAAACCCGAAACCCCGAUUCCCAUUUCUUGCACUUCUAUGUCAUGUGGCUUUUUUACUGGCCCAAAAAUCAAUAUGCCAGUGUUAUCAAGUGAUUUAGCCUGUGGGCCUGGUAAUGAGUUUGAACUGUGUGAGUAGAGUGGACCUACUGAAAAAUGGAAGCUCCAAUUCCCUUGAAUGCUUCGGCGUAUGUUGGGCUUGUUAUUGAUCCUGGCUUUUUUAAAGGGUCAAAAACUCCUGCUUUGGUCGUUUAUUUGAGGACGAUUAUAUGUAUUCCAUUUGUGAUUUUGUAUCGUACUAGUCCUUUUUUAUUAUUAUUUUUUUUUCAUCCUAGCUUUUUAUCGCUCUAAUCAUUUUCAUUUGUUUUUUGGACUUAGUAACCAAAUGUUGGGUUCUAUGUUUCAGAGGCUAGAAGGAGAAAAUUGUAACAAAUUUGGGGAUAUUUUUCGUUUUGUAUGUCGUUAUC